rnacentral:lncRNA from 1 species
AAAAAUAUUAAAAUCUAGCAGAAUGAGAUAUUUGCAUAAGAUUUAGCUCCAAGCUGUAUCUGUAAAUAGAUUCUAUUAUCAAUUGGCCAUUUAGAACACUAGGUUUAAAUCUGUGGAUUCCAUAAAUAUUCAUUGAGUGCCCACUAUGUGCUAUACAGUGUGCAAGAAGAAGUAAAUGGAUGAAAAGCUAUAAACAGACAGGAGGUUAGGAAUUUUUUUUUUUUUUUUUUGAGAUGGAGUUUUACUCUUGUUGCCCAGACUGGAGUGCAGUGGCAUAAUCUUGGCUCACUGCAACCUCUACCUCCUGGGUUCAAGCGAUUCUCCUGCCUCAGCCUCCCAAGUAGUUGGGAUUACAGGCAUGUGCCACCACGCCCAGCUAAUUUUUGUAUUUUUAGUAGAGACGGAGUUUCACCACGUUGGUCAAGCUGGUCUUGAACUCCUAACCUCAGGUAAUCCACCUGCCUCGGCCUCCAAAAGUGCUAGGAUUACAGGUGUGAGCCACCGCGCCCGGCCUCCAGAAUCUUUUAUCUGAAUACUAUAACCUCACAUGAAUCUUUUCCUGAAUAAGAAACAGAUUUUUUUAAAAAGUAGAGUUUUGGCAAACACAUACAUUUGUUUCUAAUGGAUAUAUCUGUGCAUUAUGAUAUGUGUACUCAUCGAUGAAAUAUUUCUAGACCCAUAUUUCCAAGGAUCAUUAACAUCCUUGAAUGCAUCACUGAGAUAAGAUCUGUUUAUUAUCUUGAUGAAUAUAAACUUAAAUCUCAUCUAGCCUUUUAGACUCAGUAAUUAAGUUUUAGAAAAGCAAUGAAUUAUUAAGUCUCAUUAGAAAACAGUUUGAAAAAAGCAAAACAAUUGGCCUCUUCUCUCAGCAUAAUUUAUUUCUAUUAAACGUUGGUGAUUAAGCGUUGAUGAAAAGAGAUAUUUACUCGAAGUGGCCCAUAGCUAACAAUUUUCAUGCCAUGCUACUUACACAAACCCCCUCUUCUGACACCCAGCUUCAGGGAAUUCUAUGUACUCAGAGUGGCACGAGUGUGUUUUUCUUGAAAGAGAAUUGGAAGAUAAUAGACAUUCAAGUACUUAGUAACUUAUUUGUUUGCCCAACUUAGUGUAAUUCAGAAAAUAUUGAGCACUGACUGUGGAGUAUUUGUACUCUAUACAAAAUAUAUUCUUUAUGGACAGAAAGAAAACAUCUUGAAUCAGUCCACACCUUCUAAUUAGUUGUAAAUACCAGUACUAAAAUCCACAUGAUAAGUGAGCACUAAAUGAGUAAGUUUUUAUGAUUUUAUUGGCAUUAAAAAUGUCGUCUUAUGAAUAUCUCUGUGCUUUCUUUAACUGUGUCUAGCAAACACUAGUUAUCUUAUUUCAUCUUUUUCAUGGGAAAUUAUUUUAUGAAUUUAAGGCUUGUUCCUUUAAUUAGCUUCCUCAAAGUCACCUGAAGGUUUGGUUUGAUUUGGUUUUAAAUGCAAAUCCCAGGCAAAUCUUCUGAUUGAAGAUCCCCUGGAGAUAGAUACUGUUGUAGUAGGUAUGAUGAAGGAGGCCUUUAGAGAUUAAUCUUAUCUUCCUUUGACAACCUUAAUUAUGUGUAGUUUUCCUAGCUGUAGUUAACAUUGAGUGAAAUCAUUUGCUCUGUUAAUUAUUUUUCUUUGCAGUUCUUGGGACUUUCCCACAAAGUGGACUACUAGCUAUGUUAGAGGAUGAGUUGCCCAGUCAGCACAGUGUGGAUUUUCUUUGAAGGAAAAUACCUGUGUCCUUCGUAAGUGUCCUACACAUGCUUUAUAGACA